CUCUGGCGACAGCACUGCUGUCCGUUGGCGGUUUACCUUGGGUCGGCUGUUUUUGAUUGGUUUUGUAUCAAUCCCUGUGAAAAAACACAUUAAGGGGCGUCGGUUUGCCAAAAAAAAAUAAAAAAACCAAAACUCAUCGUCGGCCAGUUUUUCUAGUGUGGCAGCUCUGCUGGCUCACCUUUGCAGUUGAGUAUUUUACUUUGAUCAACAU
rnacentral:lncRNA from 1 species